AUAGUUCAACCAAGAGGUCAACUACAAGUAUUCAUUGUAUCGAACAUGAAGACAGGCAAUAGUAUAGUUCAACCAAGAGCUCAACUACAACUAUUCAUUGUAUCGAACAUCAAGACAGGCGAUAGUAUCUAGAUCCUGGACUCACAAAAAUCGUUCAUCAAAAUAAUACGCAGGAUAAAUCAUCAUUCUAAUAAUAUUAUGGAACCAGCUAAAUGUUGAAGCUGAAAGCCAGUUGACUUGUGAUCCUGAUUCAUGAAUGGAG
rnacentral:lncRNA from 1 species